ACCCAAGUCUGUGCUGAAAGGGAGCGGCCCUGUGCAGGCUCCAGGGGGAUUUCGGCCUUGCCUUUUCCUUUGUGAUUGCUUCGGAUUAAGGUGCAAGGAAAAUCAGUUUGCCAGUCGAUUAUCCCACCAGCUAAAAUGAUCAGGGGUUAUGCCUUGUUAAAAGGGAUGGAGAGGUGUGUCCACUCUUAGGGCAGAAAGGAGUUCAGACAGGAAAUUCAGUACAAACUUCUACUGUGAAUGUAGAGUGACAUCUCCACCCAAGAAAGUAGACCUGCCCAAUGUCAGUCAUCCAGAUUUAUGGCUAUUGUGUGAACAGAUGAAAGGAAAUGCUAUAAACUAGAAGCAGAAAAUCCAGUUGGGAGACUACUACAGAGGGCCAGGCCAGUCUGCUGAUUGUGUCUGCAGCAGACAUUAGUGUGAGAGACACCCACAGUUAAUGUCAGGGUCUGGAGCAAGGUCCCUUCCAAGUAGAAAGUCUCCCUCCAUUGCCAACUUUACAAGAUAUAAAUUUAAAUUUGUUAAACUAGUCAGCAGAUUUUCCAUGCACAUCCUGAUUUUGCAAAU